UCUGGAGUGGAUGGAUACUGCAAAGUUAGAAACAGGGAGAGGAGAACUGGGGCCAGAGGUGGAGGGAGUGAGAAGAUGCAUCAGAGACUGUUAGAGCAGAACAGGCAGAGCUGUGUGGGUGAGUACAUUGAUGGCAUGCUGAUCACAUUUCCAGGCUGCCAUGGGGCUGUGAGUAGCGCUAAUAGAAUGGAUGAAAGAAUAAUGAGCCAAAGCAAUGUUGACAGCCUGGAAUGCCAGCUCAAAUCAAGCAACCUGGGCCAUAACACAGACCAACGCAAAGUCUAGCAUUUGGAUCCAAGCGACAAGUUACACGAGGACAGCAGAGGUGCUGGGAUCCCUGGAGGAAAUGCAGCCAAGCCUCUGCCACUCCUGCAAGGACUGAGGAGCUCUCUGCAUUUGAAAAAGCAGCUUCACCGUGGAUCCUGUUAAGAACAAGGUUAUUCAGCUUCUCAGGAGGACGAGGAGAAAUUGGAGAGCCUCCCGGGAAGGUCCUGGAGAGUGAUUAAGAGGAUGAGAGUAAGACUGGUGAGAAGACUCAGAGGAAUUAGAGUAAUUCAAUCUAGAGAAAUAAAUU